UUUAUUUUAUUGUGUGUUUUAUUUCAUUGUGUGUUUUAUUUCAUUGUGUGUUUUAUUUUAUUGUGUCUGUUUUAUUUCAUUGUGUGUUUUAUUUUAUUGUGUGCUUUAUUUGUCGUGAUUUUACUGGAUUGUCUUGUUGCUCAGUGUCUGAAAUCCUGGAUUUCCCUGCUAUGCAACAAGACUCACAAUCAUGUGGGGGAAGGCAUCACCAGAUAUCUGUGUCUUUCCCUCUGUACAGACCACCUUGUAUAUAGAAGCCUGUGGACUUCUUGGAGAAAUAGAGGUAUCAUCUAUUGCAUGGUUAUGCAUAUGAUGUUAUUGUGUAUUAAUAGAAUAUGAAAAAGUGACAAUGUCCAUGUGCAAUAUUCUAUGUCUGUCUGUCUGUUUUUGGUUUCCUUUGCUCUCUUGCCAGGUGUCUUCGCUGUUAAUCCUCCCACUGACUCUUGCUGUUGUUCUGUAUGGUUUUAACAGUGUAUGCAUGGCUGUUUUCAUUUGCCUGUCGUUAACCCCAUUGAUAGCCAUGUCUAUGUGCUUCCUUCAGAGUGUUCCAUCAAACCACCUCUCCACCCCUCUCCUUGCCCUCUCUCAACUCUUUUGAAAAAAGGUCAACAUUUCCUAUAGCAUAUCUCUUUAAAAAGGUCAACAUUUCCUGUAGCAUAUCUCUUUAAAAAGUCAACAUUUCCUGUAGCAUAUUUCUUUAAAAAGUCAACAUUUCCUGUAGCAUAUCUCUUUGAAAAAAGGUCAACAUUUCCUAUAGCAUCUCUUUUUAAAAAGUAAACAUUUCCUACAGCAUAUCUCUUUAAAAACUCAACAUUUCAUAUAGCAUAUCUCUUUAAAAAGUCAACAUUUCCUAUAGCAUAUCUCUUUAAAAAGUCAACAUUUCCUAAAGCAUAUCUCUUUAAAAAAGGUCAACAUUUCCUGUAGCAUAUCUCUUUAAAAAGUCAACAUUUCCUGUAGCAUAUCUCUUUGAAAAAAGGUCAACAUUUCCUAUAGCAUCUCUUUUUAAAAAGUAAACAUUUCCUACAGCAUACCUCCUUAAAAAGUCAACAUUUCCUAUUGCAUAUCUCUUUAGAACAUUAAUAUUACCAAAGGUAGUAAAUCUAUUGGAUUCAUGAAGCUUAUAGAAACCAUCGACCUUCUAAUGCAUUCAAGCCAAAUAACUCUCUGGCCAAGAUACUGUAUGUGAUAUUGUAAGCCUACACCAAAUCAAGGUAAAGUCAAAUCUACUGUCAUAUUCUGUCAGUAGAACACAAAAAGAACAAUGUUGGUUUGUUAUGAUAUUGCAAGUUGUACAUUCCAUUUUAGAGUAGAAACUUGAAAGUAACUUUCAAAUGUUGGAUUCAUAACAGUAGGACUAUUUGCAAUUGAAGAGGUAGUGUAGUAGUGAUAGUAUGACUACUGUAGAAGUAGCAGUAGCAGUUGUUAUUGUAGUAGUAGUAGUAGUAGUUAUUGUAGUAUUAUUAGUAGCAUGUAUAACAGUGCUAGUGCUACUAGUACUAGCAAUUAUGCUAUGGGGAGCAGGAGUAACUGCAGCAACAGUGGUUGUAGCAGCGUUAAUAGGUGACGGUAUCAUGGAAUCAACUGUCAAAAAAGACUGAUGCCCCUGCCCCACACACACCACUGCAUGAAGGCCGCUCAUACACCCAAAGCAAUACUGAUGCCCCUGACCCACACACACCACUGCAUGAAGGCCGCUCAUACACCCAAAGCAAUACUGAUGCCCCUGCCCCACACACACCACUGCAUGAAGGCCGCUCAUACACCCAAAGCAAUACUGAUGCCCCUGACCCACACACACCACUGCAUGAAGGCCGCUCAUACACCCAAAGCAAUACUGAUGCCCCUGACCCACACACACCACUGCAUGAAGGCCGCUCAUACACCCAAAGCAAUACUGAUGCCCCUGCCCCACACACACCACUGCAUGAAGGCCGCUCAUACACCCAAAGCAAUACUGAUGCCCCUGACCCACACACACCACUGCAUGAAGGCCGCUCAUACACCCAAAGCAAUACUGAUGCCCCUGACCCACACACAACACUGCAUGAAGGCCGCUCAUACACCCAAAGCAAUACUGAUGCCCCUGCCCCACACACACCACUGCAUGAAGGCCGCUCAUACACCCAAAGCAACCACACCUUUGAAACAGCUGCACCUAUGUCAAUUAAUCACAUGACCCCCAACAUGAGAACAGUGUUAAAGAGAGGACAUUUGUGUUUUGUUUUGUAAGAUGGCAGACGCCCGUCCUACUCCGACCCAUAUGGACGGUGUCCCUAGAGGUCCAAAAUGCUCCAUGCCAAAUCCUUAACUCCAACUUUCUAUGGUCCUUCUUUUAUUGUGUACUUUUUAAACUGUUUGUAAAAGGAAGAAAACAACUCAUAGGAAACUCACUUGUCUGUUGUAAGGUCAGUGAAGCAGAUGAAUGAGUACAAUGUACAUUGUUGAAGAAGUACAUCUGGCGGAAUAUUAUGUGUUUGUUACAUACAAUAGAAUAAAAGACACAGUGGUGGGCCACAUGCAUUAUAUUACUGUAUGUACCUCUGUACAUGUAGGGUUUCCUAAUGGAGACUACUUCUGUAAUAAAAGCAUGCUCAUUUAAGAAUAUCUAUUGGAAUGUCUUUUUAAUCCAGAACGACAUUGAUUCUGGGUCUGGGAAUCUGGACAAUAGUAUUGGACUUCUGGUUUCUGUAUUGUGAAGCUUUCUAUGUACAGUUUGUCACCUGGCUAUUUUAUUUUGAAGUCCUUUGGCAUUCAUUACUGUAUGUCAUUGUAAGCAUUUUGGCUGUGGGCCAAAAGGAUGUGAAUGUGUACUGUUGGUUUUUGGAACUUAUUAAAUAUAAUGAUGUCAAAUCAAA